AAUCCAUGUAUCGGACAUUUUUGAAGGAAUUCUUUAAAUCAUUCCCAAGCUUCAUAUAACGUUUCAUCCUCCACUUCUCGAAAAGAUGUGAUGUCAUUUCUAAGCUU
rfam:Gossypium raimondii chromosome 5, whole genome shotgun sequence.